GGAGGGCUCCUGGUUCCUUUCCUGGGGAUGAGGUGCCUCAUCCCUGGGUUUGCAGUCAAAGCCUUGGCUGGGGAAGCUGGGUGCUGUCCUCUGAGGCACCAAGGAGCUGCUGAUUGUUGUCCCCUCCAUUUUUUCUUCUGACUCCAGAACUUGACUGCCUUUUAUCUGCCAGAAACCAGCACCAACAUCAGACAGAAAGGGUGUGCUGGACUUGUGGAGACCUCCCUGUGCAGAGAGGAAGCCUUGCCAGCACCUGGCUGUCCCAAGCAUCCAUUUACAGACCUGAAAUCCCAGUUUAAUUCCAUGAGGAGUCUCAAGGCUGUGGAUUCUCCAGAAGAACCUAUUUCUUCUACAACCAGAGGCUGAACAAGAGUGAACCAUUAUAGAAGUUUAAAUAAACCCCAUAAGGUCAUCUGCUGCUUAAAUCCCUGCUACCAGGUGCCACGCUAUCAGAAGGAUGUCCUUUCUGAACUUCUGACAUGAUUUAGCAGGCACAGACCAGUGUGGUCGGUGAAGUCACAUCCUGGAGUGUCAUGUUGUGCGCCACAACCACGUGCUGCCAGGCCAAGAAGCCACCAAUGGGGUUCUCCAUCCAUCCCCCCUGGUGUCAGGCCCUCAAAGGACAGGCUGCAGUGCCAGAAUUGCUGCCUGGACACCUUCUCUAUGGACCCAGGACCUAAUGCUUUUUCAGUCCACACUGAAUGGAAAACUGUCAGGAAAGGGAAAGGAUUCUCAUUUCUUGAUUAAAAAAAAUAAUAGAAAAAGACAAAGAUAUUCAGAUCCAUUGUUCUCCUCUUCUCAGUGAUUCUCAGGUGACAGCAGAAAGUGAAGAUCCCUGAACCGGCAUUUCACAAUAGCAGUGCUCAGACAAGACUAAGCUCUAUGUGACCAAAAGGCAGCGGCACAGAGUCCAGAGGGCCUUCAUCCCUGAAGCUGAAUGCUGUGGUUCAGCAUGAAAUGAUUGCUGCACUGGAUUUCAGAACUGCAGGCAGUCCCUGUUACUUCACAGCAUGGAAACCAAGUGGGAAAGUAAUCUAUGCAAAUUACAAGCUUUUCUGCUUGAAUCACGUUCCCUUCACUCACAGUAAUGAGUCACUUGGCAUAAAGUGGACUGUUACUAUGAAUGGAGAAAGCACAUCAGGGCUCUGCUUCUCAAGAAUUAUUUCCACUUGCUGCAUCUCAUUUUGGCCUGGAACCACGAGGGGCUUCAGCUGCCAUGCAGCCCCUGAGUCCUGCUGCUGUUUCCUGUGACAGACACCCAGUGCAUGCACCAGUGAGUGCUGCUGCCAGCUGGGCUGCCCUGUGGGGCUCCUCUGGGGGCUGAGGCUCAGAGGCUGAUAUCAUUGUGCUGGAACCAGGCUUUGUGGCGACAUGCUUCUCCCUCCCUCUGGCAUCCAGCUCACCCUGGCCACAUGUGCAACCCAGGCCACGACCUCGGCCUUGGCUGGGCUCUGAUGGCCCAUUUAACAGUCACAGGCUGGAGCGGGAGCUGCUGCUGUGCUAUUUUUAACCAGCUGGACAGUUAAAUAAUUCAGAGGCAGACACACACAGAGUGGUCUGGGCUGUGCCUGGGAUCUGGGAGGGGAGAAGAGCAUUGUACCCACCCUGCUGGGCUUGCUUGACCUUAUCAAGUAUGGGUUCUCAGGCUCUUUAACACAAACACAAAACAAAAACCGAACUUUCAGAAGUGAAAUCCCUGCCUGGAUCACACUUAGCUGCAAGGCAAGAACUGUUCAGUAUUUCCCUGCUUUCUAAUGCUACAGAACUCUUUUUCCAUUACAAACUUAUGGUGAGUAGAGUCCAGAAUGGCAAGUGUCAAAAUUUCUGGGGGAGAAAAGAAUUGCUUUUAAGAAAUCUCUUUUGAAACAGGAUGUCCUAUGUAUAGCUACUCCCCCUGAUUUUGGACUAAGAAGAGAUCUGCAAAAAAAUAUUUUCUCCCAUCUCUCCAGCCCAGUUCCCCACCAAGCUGUCCUGUGAAGUGCUCCACAGCUCAGUGGAAAGCUGACCCUCUCAGGGAUGCCAGGGAGAGCACAAGACCUGCCAGCAAACCUGCUCCACCACAGAAUUCCCACAAGGUCAUUGCCUCCUUUGGGCAUCCUCCUGCUCCAGUGUGGGGUCUUCCCCAGGCUACAGGUGAGCAUCUGCUCCAUCAUGGACCUUUAUGGGCUGCAUGUGAACAGCCUGCCUCACCAUGGUCAUCAUUCAUUAUGGGAUGCAAAGGAAUUUCUACUCCGGUGCCUGGAGCACCUCCUCCCCCUUCACUGACCUUGAUA